AUCAGGUAGGGAUACCCGCUGAACUUAAGCAUAUCAAUAAGCGGAGGAAAAGAAACCAACAGGGAUUGCCUCAGUAACGGCGAGUGAAGCGGCAAGAGCUCAAAUUUGAAAGCUGGCCCCCUCGGGGUCCGCAUUGUAAUUUGCAGAGGAUGCUUCGGGAGUGGCCCCCAUCUAAGUGCUCUGGAACGGGCCGUCAUAGAGGGUGAGAAUCCCGUAUGGGAUGGGGUGUCCGCGACCAUGUGAAGCUCCUUCGACGAGUCGAGUUGUUUGGGAAUGCAGCUCUAAAUGGGUGGUAAAUUUCAUCUAAAGCUAAAUAUUGGCCGGAGACCGAUAGCGCACAAGUAGAGUGAUCGAAAGAUGAAAAGCACUUUGAAAAGAGAGUUAAAAAGCACGUGAAAUUGUUGAAAGGGAAGCGCUUGCGACCAGACUCGCCUACGGGGUUCAGCCGGUAUUCGUACCGGUGUACUUCCCCGUGGGCGGGCCAGCGUCGGUUUGGGCGGCCGGUCAAAGGCCCUCGGAAUGUAACGCCUCUCGGGGCGUCUUAUAGCCGAGGGUGCCAUGCGGCCAGCCCGGACCGAGGAACGCGCUUCGGCACGGACGCUGGCAUAAUGGUCGUAAGCGACC
rnacentral:rRNA from 1 species